UGAUGCAGCGACGCCGCGUGAGGGAUGACGGCCUUCGGGUUGUAAACCUCUUUCAGCAGGGAAGAAGCGAAAGUGACGGUACCUGCAGAAGAAGCGCCGGCUAACUACGUGCCAGCAGCCGCGGUAAUACGUAGGGCGCAAGCGUUGUCCGGAAUUAUUGGGCGUAAAGAGCUCGUAGGCGGUCUGUCACGUCGGAUGUGAAAGCCCGGGGCUUAACCCCGGGUCUGCAUUCGAUACGGGCAGACUAGAGUGUGGUAGGGGAGAUCGGAAUUCCUGGUGUAGCGGUGAAAUGCGCAGAUAUCAGGAGGAACACCGGUGGCGAAGGCGGAUCUCUGGGCCAUUACUGACGCUGAGGAGCGAAAGCGUGGGGAGCGAACAGGAUUAGAUACCCUGGUAGUCCACGCCGUAAACGGUGGGAACUAGGUGUUGGCGACAUUCCACGUCGUCGGUGCCGCAGCUAACGCAUUAAGUUCCCCGCCUGGGGAGUACGGCCGCAAGGCUAAAACUCAAAGGAAUUGACGGGGGCCCGCACAAGCAGCGGAGCAUGUGGCUUAAUUCGACGCAACGCGAAGAACCUUACCAAGGCUUGACAUACACCGGAAACGGCCAGAGAUGGUCGCCCCCUUGUGGUCGGUGUACAGGUGGUGCAUGGCUGUCGUCAGCUCGUGUCGUGAGAUGUUGGGUUAAGUCCCGCAACGAGCGCAACCCUUGUUCUGUGUUGCCAGCAUGCCCUUCGGGGUGAUGGGGACUCACAGGAGACUGCCGGGGUCAACUCGGAGGAAGGUGGGGACGACGUCAAGUCAUCAUGCCCCUUAUGUCUUGGGCUGCACACGUGCUACAAUGGCCGGUACAAAGAGCUGCGAAACCGUGAGGUGGAGCGAAUCUCAAAAAGCCGGUCUCAGUUCGGAUUGGGGUCUGCAACUCGACCCCAUGAAGUCGGAGUUGCUAGUAAUCGCAGAUCAGCAUUGCUGCGGUGAAUACGUUCCCGGGCCUUGUACACACCGCCCGUCACGUCACGAAAGUCGGUAACACCCGAAGCCGGUGGCCCAACCCCUUGUGGGAGG
rnacentral:rRNA from 1 species